rnacentral:rRNA from 1 species
UACGAAGGGGGCUAGCGUUGCUCGGAAUUACUGGGCGUAAAGCGCACGUAGGCGGCUUCUUAAGUCGGUGGUGAAAUCCUGGAGCUCAACUCCAGAACUGCCUUCGAUACUGGGAAGCUCGAGUCCGGGAGAGGUGAGUGGAACUGCGAGUGUAGAGGUGAAAUUCGUAGAUAUUCGCAAGAACACCAGUGGCGAAGGCGGCCCCCUGGGUCGGCCCUGACGCUGAGGCGCGAAAGCGUGGGGAGCGAACGGG